rnacentral:rRNA from 1 species
GUGUCAGCAGCCGCGGUAAUACGUAGGGUGCGAGCGUUAAUCGGAAUUACUGGGCGUAAAGUGUGCGCAGGUGGCCUCGCAAGUCGAGUGUGAAAUCCCCGGGCUUAACUUGGGAAUUGCGCUCGAAACUACGGGGCUCGAGUGUGGCAGAGGGAGGUGGAAUUCCACGUGUAGCGGUGAAAUGCGUAGAGAUGUGGAGGAACACCAAUGGCGAAGGCAGCCUCCUGGGCCAACACUGACGCUCAUGCACGAAAGCGUGGGGAGCAAACAGGAUUAGAUACCCCAGUAGUCC